UCCGCUCAUUGCAGCACCAUCAUCACAUCAGCUCAACCUGCACAUUUAGAAAACAUAUGCAGGGCUGAGUACAAAAGCACUCAGUGGGCACGUAUGCCUAGGUAUAAAAAUACAUGCUUCAAAACUGUAAAUUGUCAUGCCAUCAUAAACAGUACAGCAAGGGAGUUUUUCGCUAAAAAGGCCCAAGCUUACUAAAUUCAUUUGUGAUUCUUAAAGUUCGACUGAUCAGUCUAAGUUCUCUUGUAAUCUAUCAUAUCUGAAACUGUGUGCCGGAGAGUGGCCACCUCUCACGGUCACUUGACCGGCCAACCCGCUAGAUGACUCACGGUCACUGGUGUACACUAGUCCUGGCAGGAUAGCUAUCAACUGCUCAGGACCCGAAUUCGAUUGCAUCAUUGGCAAAGCCAAAGCAGAUAGAUAUCAUACUAAAAUUUAAACAUUUAUGCAAGACAAUACUUGAAAUAACUUUAACUCAAAGAUUUUGUCAUGAAAUAACUUGCUCAAAGGUAGACAUUAAACUCGUUUGAUAGAUAUAUAAAACUGAAAUUAACAGUUAAAUCAUCUCAUGCAUUCAUUCGUAUAAGAGGCCUACGACAAGCAGGGGAUCUCUAUAUACGUAUAAUAAAAGUAAUGCCUACCUUAUUCGUUCCCACUAGGGGCGUAGAGUUACCUCCUUCUUUAGCUUUCACUUCCCGUCUGGACCUUUAUUGACGAAGAGUCGAUAAGUUCGAGAAGAAAGUCGUGUAAGAAAGGAAAAUAGGUCUCUAAACUAAACUAUCUCCUUUAAUGAUUUUAGGGUUCUAGCAUCCAUAUUAAUCUUGUCUCAUCAAAACCUUAAACUCAAAACAUUUAUCACAUAACUAACAUUUAGGUUCGAACUAUUUAUUCGAACAUCAACAUGCGCAU
rnacentral:lncRNA from 1 species